rnacentral:rRNA from 1 species
GAGUUUGAUCCUGGCUCAGAUUGAACGCUGGCGGCAUGCCUUACACAUGCAAGUCGAACGGCAGCAUGAUCUAGCUUGCUAGAUUGAUGGCGAGUGGCGAACGGGUGAGUAAUACAUCGGAACGUGCCCUGUAGUGGGGGAUAACUAGUCGAAAGAUUAGCUAAUACCGCAUACGACCUGAGGGUGAAAGUGGGGGACCGCAAGGCCUCAUGCUAUAGGAGCGGCCGAUGUCUGAUUAGCUAGUUGGUGGGGUAAAGGCCCACCAAGGCGACGAUCGGUAGCUGGUCUGAGAGGACGAUCAGCCACACUGGGACUGAGACACGGCCCAGACUCCUACGGGAGGCAGCAGUGGGGAAUUUUGGACAAUGGGCGAAAGCCUGAUCCAGCAAUGCCGCGUGUGUGAAGAAGGCCUCGGUU